UACGUAGGGUGCGAGCGUUGUCCGGAAUUAUUGGGCGUAAAGGGCUCGUAGGCGGUCUGUCGCGUCGGGAGUGAAAACUCAGGGCUUAACCCUGAGCCUGCUUCCGAUACGGGCAGACUAGAGGUAUGCAGGGGAGAACGGAAUUCCUGGUGUAGCGGUGGAAUGCGCAGAUAUCAGGAGGAACACCGGUGGCGAAAGCGACGGACUGGAUCUCUUCUGACGCUGAGGCGCGAAAGCCAGGGGAGCAAACGGG
rnacentral:rRNA from 1 species